AGUGAACGCUGGCGGUAGGCUUAACACAUGCAAGUCGAACGGCAGCACAGUAAGAGCUUGCUCUUACGGGUGGCGAGUGGCGGACGGGUGAGGAAUGCAUCGUAAUCUACUUUUUCGUGGGGGAUAACGUAGGGAAACUUACGCUAAUACCGCAUACGACCUACGGGUGAAAGCAGGGGAUCUUCGGACCUUGCGCGAUUGAAUGAGCCGAUGUCGGAUUAGCUAGUUGGCGGGGUAAUGGCCCACCAAGGCGACGAUCCGUAGCUGGUCUGAGAGGAUGGUCGGCCACACUAGAACUGAGACACGGUCCAGACGCCUACGGGAGGCAGCAGUGGGGAAUAGUAGGCAAUGGGCGCAAGCCUGGUCCAGCCGUACCGCGUGGGUGAAGAAGGCCUUCGGGUUGUAAAGCCCUUUUGUUGGGAAAGAAAAGCAGCAGGUUAAUACGCCGCUGUUCUGACGGUACCCAAAGAAUAAGCACCGGCUAACUUCGUG
rnacentral:rRNA from 1 species